rnacentral:antisense_RNA from 1 species
CUCAAAGGCAGACCGGGCGAGGCAGCCCACGGGCUGGCCGGUUCCAUGAUGCCGGUAUUCCUACCCUCGUUCGGGCUGCCGCCCAC